rnacentral:tRNA from 1 species
UUGAAAAUGGCUGAGUGAGUAGAGCAUUGCGCUAGCAACACAAAGGUCAUGGGUUCAAACCCCAGUGAAA